rnacentral:sRNA from 1 species
UGGGCACUAAAGAGAGAAGUAUCUAUUAUAGUGGAUACUAAAGAGAGAGAGAAAAUUGCGGAGUGAGAACACGAAGAAGAGUUGAAAUGGUCCAAGGUUAGUCAUCCUUCCUGCACUUUGCUCCGAUUGUCCAGUUCUCUCAACUCUGCUCCGUGCCCCGAUCGUCCUAACUUCUCCAAUGAAUGGUUGACCUACAGAAAACACUCCGAGGAUUAAGUCAGAUAUGUUGGUCAAGAAGUUAUCAUAUGAGCGAUCAGUUAGCUGAAUCGACCACGCUUAUGGUGAAUUAGAGACGGUUCCGAUCGACGCUUGGUCUUCGGUUCCCCAAAUCACAGAAUUGAAGUUGUUGUUUUCUGGUAUGCCACUAAGCGGUACUGGAAUGACGUUGAGCCCAAGUUUGAUUGUGAAGGUCUAGAAGCAUUUUUACUCCAGAUUGCUGAGUGCUGAACUUGUACCAUUGGUCAUGCGAAAAUGCGAAUGCUUUGGUGCUAGGCGGUGGCAGGGCAUCGUUGCGUGCAACUUUUCACCGCAAGUCUUGAGCUAUUUAAUUUCUUUUCGUUGAGUGAAAGAUAUGUGUCGUUGAGUGUGACUUUUUGCGAGAGGAAUGGCGGUGAGUAGCAAGACUUGUUGCUGAGCGCCACCCUUUGUAAAAUGUUUGAUGUUGAG